AGGUCAGGGUGGUAAACUUUUAUCAAAGCAAGCUCUGUUUGUAAUGGGACCGCCCAUCUCUAGUGUGUCCAAUAGGAAUGCGUGGGCGGGGUCAUGUAUUUAUUUCCAGUCUUUAGGAUCGUUUCCAGGUCGCGUCGGGUGUGGAUGCAGCUUCAGGGUGCAUGUUUACUAGAGCAGGUGUUUCUUUCAACACUGCACAUUUGAGACCUAUAUAAUGAAUGGAAGUGCACAGCAGCUGAGAUUCAUGGGAUUAUUUUGUCAGCUCCAAUCCCUAUCAAUGUGAGGUCGUGUAAAUAGCAGCUCACAAUACUGUGGUUUUCUUUGACGUCUCAUGUCUCUCAUAUGAGCAGCAGAAAUUAGUCUGGACUUUCAGGGGACAGUAAGCCUUUUAAUAUGCAGUGCUGUCUCUGGGAAGUGCUCCUCCACAUGCAUAGAAUAAGACACAGGUAUGUGGAGCGCGUGAUCCUGAGGGGAGAGAGACACAGAGAGAGAAGAAGCAGGAAGAGAGUGUAGAGGGAGGAGGAGAGGUAAGGGCUGGGAUAGAGACAUAAGGAGAGGGGGAGAGGUGUGGAGAGCUUUUUUUAUUAUCAAAAUCACAUUUCUUCCAUUGACAUAUGAGACAUCUCUAAUACGUGUGACCUAUUACCUAGUUUGGUGUGUGUUGUAUAUUUUUUUGUGUAAUUCGCUGGGGGUCGGAAGGGGUGAAAAGAAACUAAAUGCAGGGCUGCUUUUCUUACUGGCUCUUUCUUUGUCUGGAGUUUCUGUUUCUGACUACAAAUAUGAGGGAAUUCAACAUUCACUGCUAUUGCCUGCUACUUGAGUCGACUACAAUAUGCAUUGAUGGGGAAGCUACUGUAUAGUCCUUUUAAAAGGACUAGAAAAGCUGGGAGAAAGAUUGCAUUGCUUUGAAAUGCUGCUAUUGAAUCUACAUGUAUAGCAUGCUGUGUUAAAUUGGGAUACAGGCAGAAGAACAUGUUUUAAAAUCACGAGGCCAGCACUUUAAAUGUGAUACCUACCCCAUUUCUCUUAGUAUUGUAUUAACAUCACUGCACUGCUCCUCGAUAGGACUCUUAUAAACUGGAGAGAAGAGCCACAGAAUUCCCUGGACGAGAUUCUGCUCUAGUGGCUGAAACACAGAGACAGUAUUUUAAUAAGAAGGGGCUUGUAUAAAGAGAACACUUUCUCAACAAGUGAUGUUUUCAUAUGUGUGCAGAGCACAAGAGAUCUCAGAGAAUGAUAAACGCUAACAAACAUCUCAUUUUCUGCUCAACCUGCUUGUCUAAACCUGGCCUCAGUCCAAAACCCUGCCUCUUACAGCUUUAUAUAACUCCUGGAAUUCAGAAACACUGGUAAGUUUCGUUUCUUGUGAAACCCAUCCCUGUCUCUGUAUCAUCUCAACAGAAACAGCAGAAGCACAUAUUGUGAUUCCAGCCCAGGAUCACACUUCAUGGUGAAUCGAGGGUAUUGACACAACUAUUCCAAUGGCUGGAGUUCCAUCCUUCUUAUAUUCCUGUACAGAACUAGACACUCUAACACAGCAGUCAAACCCAUUGUUAAUACUGUGAUAAAUCAGGAGAAAUGGACAGUCUAAACAUGGAAACAAGCUUGUUCUUGUUAUUCCACUUGUUCUCCUUGUUGAAGAAGAAAACUCCCCUCCCCUCCAAAAACAAUUGAGAACUGAAGUGGAGGCAUUUCUGUCCAUUUUACCCACUCAGAUCCCUCGCUCUCUAAAUAUAUUGGUGCAUCUGAAAAGAUAAUAGCACCAUCUUCAAAUACAAGCUAAAGAUUGUCAGAUUGUCAUUUUACUUUCACAAUGAAAAUAAAUAAAUAAACUAAUUUAAAAUGAUUAAAUAAGGUUGCAUUUAAGUUUUAAUGUAAGAGAUAUGAUUUUCAAUUUGCACUUUAAUCAAAACAAUGUAAUGGUUUUAAAUUUGAUCAGCAAU